CCUAGGACCCAGGUCGAGCUGGUCAAGCGUCGGCUAUGGCGCUUCCAGAUCCGCCUUGGUGCUUCCCGAUCCACGUCGCCGUUGGUUGCUUCUACCCGGGCCGCGACGGAGGUGCUCGACGUUGCCUCCACACCCACAACGCGUGCCGGGAGAGGAGCCCAUGUGUGGUUCUUCUUGGGCCACGACGCGGGCGUGCGGUGGGUGGCCUCUGGCGCCCGCUCGCCGGCGCCGAACCAGGCUCGGGCUCCACGGAUCUACGGGGGUCGCCUCACCCCGACCCCCUCGCAGAUUCUCCCGCCCCUCCUCUCUGGUCUCUCUCUUACUGACUCAUCGAAGCCCCCCCAUUUCCCCGUUACAUUCAAAUCGCUGCCGGAUUCUACUCUUCUCCAUCCCUCGAUCGAUUGCUAGUCGGCAAGCAAACAUCCAUCAGUCAGCCGGCCGGACAAGGACAAGGAGCCGCCAUCUACUGCUGCAAGGCAGGGAUUUCUAUUCUUGCGAUAAAAGGCAAGAAAUGGUGGGCCGGUGGGGCUAUGGACCCGAGGUGAAAAGUCCUCAUAUUAAUGGGAAAAACAGAUUCUUUUGCACUUAACAUAAGCAGCAGCCAAUGAUCUUAGUGGAUAUCAACACUCCUGGAGUGCAGAUAAAGAGACCAUUGUUAGUCUUUGGGUUCGAUGACCCACUACAAGGACAUGCAGAGAUUACUUCUGAUAACGUGUGUUUUCCGGUCACAAAUAUCCUCCUCGGGGAAGGAUGUGGUUUCGAGAUUGCUCAAGGAAGACUAGGCCUUGGAAGACUACUUCAUUGCAUGAUACUAAGAGUAGUAGCGGAACAUGGCAUGGAUGUGAUGGUUGAGGGGGCCUUACGCAGGACCGCUUUUGGAAAGAAGAUCACACAUCAUGGUUCCUUUCAGUCGGACCUGGUAAAGACAAGGAUUUCUAUGAGAAAAAUGGCAAAAAUGGUGGACGGGUAGGACUAUUGACCCGAGUGUAAAGUCCUCAUAUUAAUGGAAAAAUAGUUUUGUCCGCACCUAAAUGCAAGCAGCAGUCAGUGAUCUUAUUGGAUAUCAACACUCCCGGUUGAAGAGAAAGAGACCAAUGUUAGUCUUUGGGUUCAAUGAUGCAUCACAUGGACAUGCAGAGAUUGCUUCUGAUAACUUGCGUGUUCCAUUCAUGAAUAUCCUCCAUGGGGAAGGACAUGGUUUCGAGCUUACUGAAGGAAGGCUUGGUCCUGGAAGAUCACAUCAUUGCCUGAGACUAAGAGUAGCAGCAGAAUGUGGCACGCACAUGAUGGUUGAGCGGGCCCUAAGGACUGCUUUUGGAAAGAAGAUUGCACAGCAUGGUUCCUUUCAGUUGGACUGG